GGUGGGUUGGCAGAGCGGUUGAUCGCACUAGUCUUUGAAAACUAGCAAGGAUGAAAGUCCUUCCAGGGUUCGAAUCCCUGACCCACCGCCA
rnacentral:tRNA from 1 species